UAGCGAGCCGUCAAUUAGAGGGAGUGGAUAAAAUCCGUACACUCUUCAUUUUCUCUCUUCCCCUUCUUCCCCGUCUGCUUCUCGAACACAAGGCAGCUGCAGCUGCAGAUUAACAAUGUUAGCAAAUCCUUGCGGCCUCCAUUUCCGACCAUGCUAUUCCCACACAUCUGAAUUCUCUAAUUUUGGGACAUCCAAAUUCUCUUUAUCUUCUUAUUGCCCUCGCUUCCAUGGUUCCGCGAAAUCCAAGUUGUCUUCUCUUUCGCUUCUUCGCAGUAAGAAAAACGGUAAGGGAUUGGUCACCAGGGCUCUUUCGGAGUCUGCAGUACCCGACUCGGUUGCGGCGAGGGAUGUGGCACUGGGUUCUUUGCGGCCUUACUCUGUCAAAAUUCCUGUUGGGGAUAGACAUAUUUUGGUUGAGACGGGCCAUAUUGGGAGACAAGCUAGCAGUGCUGUUACAGUAACUGAUGGAGAAACUAUUGUUUAUACAACUGUUUGUUUGGCUGAUACACCAAGUGAACCUUCAGAUUUCUUUCCUCUUUCUGUUAAUUAUCAAGAACGUUUUUCUGCAGCAGGUCGGACUAGUGGAGGAUUCUUCAAACGAGAAGGAAGAGCAAGAGAUCAUGAGGUUCUCAUUUGUAGAUUGAUUGAUAGGCCCAUUCGUCCAACUAUGCUCAAAGGUUUUUACCAUGAAACGCAGAUAUUAUCUUGGGUUUUGAGUUAUGAUGGUCUGCACACCCCUGAUUGUUUGGCAAUUACAGCAGCUGGAAUAGCAGUUGCGCUCUCAGAAGUUCCUAAUUCAAAAGCAGUUGCUGGAGUUCGAAUUGGUCUUGUCGGCGACAAGUUUAUUGUUAAUCCAACUACCAAAGAGAUGGAAGAUUCUGAGCUUGAUUUAGUACUUGCUGGCACAGAUAGUGCAAUAUUGAUGAUAGAGGGGUAUUGUAAUUUUCUACCAGAAGAGAUGUUGCUCCAAGCUGUAGAAAUUGGGCAGAAUGCUGUAACAGCAAUUUGCAAAGAGGUGGAUUCUUUAGUUAGAGAGCGUGGGAAACCAAAAAUGCUCGAUGCCAUUAAGCUUCCUCCUCCUCAGCUGUAUGAACAUGUUGAAGAAAUUGCUGGAAAUGAGUUAGAAAAAGUUCUGCAAAUUAGAAACAAAAUUCCCCGACGAAAGGCUCUCUCAUCAUUAGAAGAAAAAGUUAUUACCAUAUUGACAGAAGAAGGUUACGUCAGUUUAGAUGCCACUUCAGGGGGUCUUGAACCCAUACCUGAUUUGGUGGAGGAUGAAGAUGAGGAUGAUGAAGUAGUGGUGGAUGGUGAAGUUGAUGAAGGUGAUGUCCAUAUUAAACCAACUAUACGCAAGCCUAUUCCAACACUCUUUUCUGAGGUAGACGUAAAGUUAGUAUUUAAAGAAGUGACAUCCAAGUUUCUCCGGAGACGGAUUGUAGAGGGUGGAAGAAGAAGUGAUGGGAGGACACCGGUUGAGAUACGUCCAAUUAACUCAAAAUGUGGGUUACUUCCUCGGGCACAUGGCAGCACACUUUUCACUCGUGGUGAAACUCAGUCACUUGCAGUGGUUACGCUCGGGGAUAGGCAAAUGGCACAAAGAGUGGACAACCUUGUUGAUGUAGAUGAGUUGAAAAGGUUCUACCUUCAGUACUCAUUUCCCCCAUCGUGUGUUGGAGAAGCUGGGCGUAUUGGUGCACCUAGUCGAAGGGAAAUUGGUCACGGUAUGCUUGCAGAGAGAGCACUGGAACCAUCUUUACCUUCUGAAGAUGAUUUUCCAUACACCAUUCGUGUUGAGAGUACAAUCACCGAAAGCAAUGGCUCCUCAAGCAUGGCAUCUGUUUGUGGGGGUUCAUUGGCUUUGCAAGAUGCUGGAGUUCCAAUUAAGUGUCCAAUUGCUGGUAUAGCAAUGGGGUUGGUUCUUGAUACAAAAGAAUUUGGGGGAGAUGGAACUCCACUUAUUCUGUCUGACAUAACAGGAUCUGAGGAUGCUUCCGGAGAUAUGGAUUUUAAGUUAGCUGGUAACGAAAUGGGCAUAACAGCAUUUCAGAUGGACAUAAAGGUGGGAGGCAUUACUAUACCCAUUAUGAGAGAGGCGCUCCUGCAAGCAAAGGAGGGGCGUAAGCAUAUUCUUGCUGAAAUGUUGAAUUCAUCUCCUCCUCCUUCAAAAAGGCUUUCACCAUAUGCCCCAUUGAUUCACGUCAUGAAGGUUCAACCUGAAAAAAUAAAUCUAAUCAUUGGUACUGGUGGAAAAAAGGUGAAGAGCAUUAUAGAGGAAACAGGAGUUGAGGCUAUUGACACUCGAGAUGAUGGGAUAGUUAAAAUUACUGCAAAGGAUUUGACAAGCUUGGAAAAAUCUAAAGCUAUUAUUAGCAAUCUGACAAUGGUUCCAACUAUUGGUGAUAUUUAUAGGAACUGUGAGAUCAAGACGAUUGCUGCUUAUGGUGUAUUUGUCGAGAUAGCACCUGGACGAGAGGGACUUUGCCAUAUUAGUGAGUUGAGCUCAGAUUGGUUGGCAAAGGCAGAAGAUGCUUUUAAAGUUGGAGACAAAAUUGACGUCAAACUCAUUGAGGUAAAUGAAAAGGGCCAGCUCCGCCUUAGCCGUCGUGCAUUGCUUCCAGAUGCUGAUCAGGAUUCCAGUUCAAAGGAGAAUACAGGCAACCCUUCUAGAAACAAGACUGCAACACAGAAGGGCACUGAUAAAGGUACACCUAAGAAAGCUGGUAAGGAGAACAUGGAACAAACUAAUGUACAGAAAGGAGGUGCUGCACCAAUAGGUAAUUCAUUGGAGGAUGCUGCAAAACUUCAGAAGAAAUUUAUACGAAAAGGAGUAACUGCAACGAAAGAAAGACCUAUGAGCAAAGAACAGACAAAAAGCACAAGCAGUUGAGUAGUUAGUAGUGUCUUCAAUUCAACACCAAACUUCAGUGAAUGAAAAGGAUGAAUUCAGAUUCGUUUAUUAUGUGUUAUACACCAACUGUAUAUUAGCGUUCAUUCUGCAGCAAGAGGAUUAGUGAUACAAGUGCCUCACAACUUGAAGAUUACCAAGGAAAAGGAAAAUUGUGGUUUUUCCCCCUGAAUCUUUGAUACAAAUGUUCAGAAAGGCAACUGAGCACGAGCAUAACAUCGAAAAGCAGGAAAAAAAUCGUCCCAGAACUCCCAUUUUUUUUGGUCCCAAGUGCAGGGGAGAUAUUUGUUCAUAUGAAGAUCACUCCCAUGUCAGAGCUCUCUUAAUGGAAUACAUGUGACCACUGGAAAUGAAUCCCUUGUGUUCUUGCAGGUUCUGAUUUGUUUUUUUUAAUAUUCGAAUUUAUUAGGAUGUAUUCUAUUUUCUUUAUAAGUCAGCAUGUUUAUGAAAAUUUUGAUAACAUAUUAAAUAUUCAAUUCAUACUUCAAUUAAAUUAUUGGCAAACAAAACUUAUUUCGAUAA